UCUCAGUGGUAGGCGUUUCAGCAAUUUCCCAGUGUUAGUAUUCUCCAUGUGACUAUGUUCUUGUUUUUUGACCUCGCCUUUGCCUAGCCUAAAGACUGACUUUUUUGGAACACAAUUUUGUGUCUGAGUUGUGCCUUUGAGUCCCUGUCUUAUGGUAUCAGCUUGAUAGUACAAACUGCCCACGAACUAUUUCUCUGCAAGCUGCCAUCCUCAAGGAAGUAAUCAACACCAAGAGCAACUUACCGCCAUCUACCAUGGAACUAGAGAGCUCGAUGUUCGCCACGAAGGCGUCCAGUUAUCCAUCUGCAGCCAACUCGUGCUCCGCUGAUUCAGUCUCCAUUGUCUCCUCACCUGACUGGAGAGGUCUUCUGGUGACACCGACAACUGCCAGUCGUUCCAGUUGCAGUGUAGACUACAUUUCGAGAUGCAGGCUGCAGCCUUUCCCAUCCAUUGAGCCAAGGUAGCUUACAUAAUCACCCCCUGCCUGUUUCAAGGAACCCAUGUAGCUGGGACAUGACAGGUUAACACCGGAAGAGCAACAAUGUCAUCUCCAAAAGGGUCUGUGCAUGUACUGCGCUCAACAUGGACACUUCAUGGCUUAAUGUCCAGUAAAACACUUGGCUUGCCAGUGAAGAUGGCGGCUCUGUUGAGCCAUACAAAUUCCUCUCAUUCCCCCUCUCGACCUCUAACUCAGUUACUUCAACUCACCUUGUGUCACAAAGUUUUAGUGGACGCUGAGGCUGACGAGAGCUUUAUGAAUUGGGGUUUAGCUAAGGCUGAAACUGAAACUUCCUCUGCUAAAACCCCUAGAGGCCAACACCUUGGAUGUAUGGCUAUUGUGCUGAGUCACACACCGCACUCAACCUAUUAAAAUCAUCAUGGUCAAGGGACACACUGAAUCACUCAGAUACCAACCCUGCAAAUUCCCCCCUGCAUACUGGGGCUUCCCUGGCUAUCUUUACAUAACCCACAGAUAAACUCGGCUACUGCAAUUAUAACGGGCUGCAGAGAGUAAUGUUCAUUGCAUUGUCUGUCUUCUCCGUGUUCCCAGGAGACACCCUGUGCCUCAGUUCCACCACCUUCACUGAACAAACUUACCUAAGGUACUCAUUCUCUGCUCCUGAACAAGAGGCCAUGGAUAAAUACAUCUCAUCCAUCCUGAAAGCUGGAAUCAUCUGUCCUUCCUCCUCUCCUGUAGGAGCAGGGUCCUUCUUCAUUUAUAUGAAGGACAAGGUCUCUCAGCCCAUGUAUCAACUACUAAGAACUGAAUGACAACAUAAACAGUUACCCCCUCCCUCUCAUUUCUUCUGAUUUUGAAGUGUUACAUGGAGCUAAGCUCUUUACAAAACUUGACUUAAGGAAUACCUACCAUUUACUCAGAAUAAGGGAGGGGAAUGAAUAGAAAACUGCCUUCAACACGCCUAGCGGCCAUUACACGUACCUCAUAAUGCCGUUUGCACUCACCUAUGCCCCAGCUGCGUUUAAGGCCUUUGUCAAUGACAUGCUCUGGGACAUGCUCAAAAAAAACACGUCUUUGGAUGACAUCCUCCUCUUCUCCCCAGAUGACCAUACUCACGUGCAACAUGUACGGCAAGUCAUGUAGCGCCUCCUCUAUCAUCAGCUCUUAGUCAAAGCAGAAAAUGUGAGUCUCUGUCGCUCAGAACAGCAUCCAAAUGGAUCCCAAUAAGGUUAGUGCUGUGGCAGCUUGAGCCGCACCCCUGCAUGCAUUAUCCUCUGCUAAUGUCAAAUUUCAGUGGUCUCCCCAAGCAGACCAGGCCUUCCAGAGGCUCAAGAAGAGCUUCACCUCUGCUCCCAUCCUCACUCUUCCUUAUCCCUGACUCAUGGUAGAAGUGCAAGCUUUGGACAUUGGAGUGGGAGCGGUUCCCUCCCAAUGUUCACCUGAGGACAACAGGCUAAAUCCCUGUGCCUUCCUCUCCCAGAAACUGUCCAUUGGAGAGAGGAAUUAUGAUGUGGGCAACAGGAGCUACUGGGGGGUAAGGUGCCUAGGGAGGAGUGGUUUUACAGGGUAGAGGGGGGGCGGAACAACAAUUCUGAAACUUUAAUGUUUUUCUUUUAUGUAGAGAUGCAUUCAGAUUGUAGAAAGUGCCACUGGGAUUUUGAAAGGUUAUUUCAGUCUUUCCAGUUUAGGAGGAUUGUCUUUUUAGCGAUGGUUAAGCAGACCAGUGUGGGUUCAACUGAGGAAAAGAUCUCCUAGCAGACCAUACAGACGGGGAGACUGGAAUAAUGUGAACUAUGACCUAGGACAGUGUAUGUGUAAUGUUUGUCCUGAAUGUUUGAAUGGGUGGGCAGAGUUAGUUGGCAUGAAGGUAAUCAUCCGUAGUCUUUAAUGUGUACAGUGUGUACAGGUGUUAUCGUCUGAGUCACUUUUUUUGUAGAUUAUAUGGGAUGAGGUGAACUCAGUGUAGAAUUUUGUAUUGAUUAAGUUGCAGUUUUGGGACAUUGAGAUGUUGUUGAUGUGACUGUGCAUCCAGGAGUUGAUGUCUAUGGUAACAGCCAGAUCUUUUUCCAAAUACCAGACCAGGUGUGGAAGUUUGCCUGAUUUUAUUAGAUGUUUCUACAUUUUUGAAAAUGGUUAUUUCUGAGUGGAUAUGGGUUUGAGUUGUUUGAAAAAUGGGGGUUUAUAAGAAGUUGUUACCACAGAUAUCAUUUCUAUUUUAGUGUCUCGCAGAGUAUGAGUGAGCCGUGAUAAAAUAGAUUUUGCAAAUGUGUAAUUUCUACUUUUUUCCAUCAACUUAGUGUUAAUGGUUUUAUUUUUUUAUCAGAAAGGUCACAUUGUGCAAAAUUGGGAUAAACCAUUUGAAGAUAUGGGAUGUCCAGUGAUUUGGUUGGAUUUCCACCAAGCUGCAGUUAUGUUUUUAAAUUGACUGGGUAAGGAACGGGAGGUCUGAUAUUGAUAGUUCUUGGCAGUCAGUAUUGUUCUGUAUCCAACCAGGGGUUCUGUGAUUGUUGAUUCUUUUUUAGCCACUUGGGUAUAUAUUGAAGAUGAUUUGCUAGGUGGUCUCUUGGUUUCUGCAGCAUGGAUCAUUUGAUUUGUGGUUUGUUAUGUUUUCAGUAGAAUAUAGUUAAGAUGAAAUCUAAAGUGUUAAACCCAUUGUGAUGUAGGUUGGACUGGGGUCAUAGAAAAAACAUUUUGGGUAGUUAGGUCAUUUUUACUACAAGGGCAAGUUGUUUCAGCGGGUUAGGUCUUCCAUUUUUUUAUUUAUUUUGGUAACAGUGCAUAAUUCAGAAGGAAAAGUUCUGACAUCUUGGUGGAAACAUUGAUACCAAGGUAUUUAAUGUCACCUAUUAUUGUCCAAGGGAGUUUUCUCGCCACAGCUUUCUAGAAUUCUUCGCAGAGUGGUAGAAUUUUAGAUCGAGACCAAUUUAUGGAAUAAUCAGAAAUUCGUGAAUAAAGAUAUGAGACUGAA